GCGGUACAGGAUGGACCCGCGUCUGAUUAGCUAGUUGGUAAGGUAACGGCUUACCAAGGCGACGAUCAGUAGCCGACCUGAGAGGGUGAUCGGCCACAUUGGAACUGAGACACGGUCCAAACUCCUACGGGAGGCAGCAGUGGGGAAUAUUGCACAAUGGGCGAAAGCCUGAUGCAGCAACGCCGCGUGAGCGAUGAAGGCCUUCGGGUCGUAAAGCUCUGUCCUCAAGGAAGAUAAUGACGGUACUUGAGGAGGAAGCCCCGGCUAACUACGUGCCAGCAGCCGCGGUAAUACGUAGGGGGCUAGCGUUAUCCGGAAUUACUGGGCGUAAAGGGUGCGUAGGUGGUUUCUUAAGUCAGAGGUGAAAGGCUACGGCUCAACCGUAGUAAGCCUUUGAAACUGGGAAACUUGAGUGCAGGAGAGGAGAGUGGAAUUCCUAGUGUAGCGGUGAAAUGCGUAGAUAUUAGGAGGAACACCAGUUGCGAAGGCGGCUCUCUGGACUGUAACUGACACUGAGGCACGAAAGCGUGGGGAGCAAACAGGAUUAGAUACCCUGGUAGUCCACGCCGUAAACGAUGAGUGCUAGCUGUCGGAGGUUACCCCCUUCGGUGGCGCAG
rnacentral:rRNA from 1 species